AUUGAACGCUGGCGGCAUGCCUUACACAUGCAAGUCGAAUGGUAACAGGUCUUCGGAUGCUGACGAGUGGCGAGCGGGUGAGUAAUACAUCGGAACGUGCCCGAUCGUGGGGGAUAACGAAGCGAAAGCUUUGCUAAUACCGCAUACGAUCUACGGAUGAAAGCAGGGGACCGCAAGGCCUUGCGCGAACGGAGCGGCCGAUGGCAGAUUAGGUAGUUGGUGGGAUAAAAGCUUACCAAGCCGACGAUCUGUAGCUGGUCUGAGAGGACGACCAGCCACACUGGGACUGAGACACGGCCCAGACUCCUACGGGAGGCAGCAGUGGGGAAUUUUGGACAAUGGGCGAAAGCCUGAUCCAGUCAUGCCGCGUGCAGGAUGAAGGCCUUCGGGUUGUAAACUGCUUUUGUACGGAACGUAAAGACUCUGGUUAAUACCUGGGGUCCAUGACGGUACCGUAAGAAUAAGCACCGGCUAACUACGUG
rnacentral:rRNA from 1 species